rnacentral:lncRNA from 1 species
AAAUAGAAGGUAUUCUAAAGUGUAUGGAGAAAAUAGGGUUAGCAAAUACGAGCCAUCUCGGAAUAGGUAAAAUUGGAAACAACUGGUGAUUGCGUUGUGCCGAGGCCGAUACUGAGAUGGGAAAUUGCCCUCCCGGUAUAGGUGGAAAUAGCAAGAGGAUAUCAAUGAUAGCGACCGCGUAUGAAAGGACAGACAUGCACCAAUGUGUCAUAGCUAUCAAGCAAGCGGAUGAUCCUCACAGGUCUUUGCUAGGCGCAAACCAACCUUGUAUACUAUAAAUAGAUGCUCCCUGCCCAUUGCAGAGAGAAUCAUCUGAUUUCUCAUCUCUGCCCAUAAUAAGCAAUAAAAUUCUUUAGUUUUGUCUCCAA